AACGAACGCUGGCGGCAUGCCUAACACAUGCAAGUCGAACGAGACCUUCGGGUCUAGUGGCGCACGGGUGCGUAACGCGUGGGAACCUGCCCUUAGGUUCGGAAUAACUCCCCGAAAGGGGUGCUAAUACCGGAUAAUGUCUUCGGACCAAAGAUUUAUCGCCUUUGGAUGGGCCCGCGUUGGAUUAGCUAGUUGGUAGGGUAAAAGCCUACCAAGGCGACGAUCCAUAGCUGGUCUGAGAGGAUGAUCAGCCACACUGGGACUGAGACACGGCCCAGACUCCUACGGGAGGCAGCAGUGGGGAAUAGUGGACAAUGGGCGAAAGCCUGAUCCAGCAAUGCCGCGUGAGUGAUGAAGGCCUUAGGGUUGCAAAGCUCUUUUACCCGGGAUGAUAAUGACAGUACCGGGAGAAUAAGCUCCGGCUAACUCCGUGC
rnacentral:rRNA from 1 species